UCGGGAAUUUUGGGCAAUGGGCGAAAGCCUGACCCAGCAACGCCGCGUGCAGGAUGACGGUCCUAUGGAUUGUAAACUGCUUUUGUACAGGAAGAAACAGUUCUACGUGUAGAACCUUGACGGUACUGUAAGAAUAAGGAUCGGCUAACUCCGUGCCAGCAGCCGCGGUAAUACGGAGGAUCCAAGCGGUAUCCGGAAUCAUUGGGUUUAAAGGGUCCGUAGGCGGUUAGAUAAGUCAGUGGUGAAAGCCCAUCGCUCAACGGUGGAACGGCCAUUGAUACUGUCUGACUUGAAUUAUUAGGAAGUAACUAGAAUAUGUAGUGUAGCGGUGAAAUGCUUAGAGAUUACAUGGAAUACCAAUUGCGAAGGCAGGUUACUACUAAUGGAUUGACGCUGAUGGACGAAAGCGUGGGUAGCGAACAGGAUUAGAUACCCCCGUAGUCCCUGAGCGGGCUGGCAAGGCGCAU
rnacentral:rRNA from 1 species